rnacentral:rRNA from 1 species
UUACCUACGGGAGGCAGCAGUGGGGAAUAUUGGGCAAUGGACGCAAGUCUGACCCAGCAACGCCGCGUGAAGGAAGAAGGCUUUCGGGUUGUAAACUUCUUUUAAGGGGGAAGAGCAGAAGACGGUACCCCUUGAAUAAGCCACGGCUAACUACGUGCCAGCAGCCGCGGUAAUACGUAGGCGGCAAGCGUUGUCCGGAUUUACUGGGUGUAAAGGGCGGGCAGCCGGAGAGACAAGUCAGAUGUGAAAUCCACGGGCUCAACCCGAGAACUGCAUUUGAAACGGGUUCCCUUGAGUGUCGGAGG